rnacentral:tRNA from 1 species
UCCGUCGAUUUUCUAAAUCGUGAGGGUUCAAGUCCCUCUAUCCCCAAAAA